CUACGGAGGGUGCAAGCGUUACUCGGGAUCACUGGGCGUAAAGCGCGCGCAGGCGGUCUUUUAAGUUGGAUGUGAAAGCCUACGGCUCAACCGUAGAACUGCAUCCAAAACUAUUAGACUAGAGUGUGGGAGAGGAAGAUGGAAUUAGUUGUGUAGGGGUAAAAUCCGUAGAGAUAACUAGGAAUACCAAAAGCGAAGGCAAUCUUCUGGAACACUACUGACGCUGAGGCGCGAAAGCGUGGGGAGCAAACAGGAUUAGAAACCCGAGUAGUCC
rnacentral:rRNA from 1 species